CCUACGGGAGGCAGCAGUCGAGAAUCAUUCACAAUGGGGGAAACCCUGAUGGUGCGACGCCGCGUGGGGGAAUGAAGGUCUUCGGAUUGUAAACCCCUGUCAUGUGGGAGCAAAUUAAAAAGAUAGUACCACAAGAGGAAGAGACGGCUAACUCUGUGCCAGCAGCCGCGGUAAUACAGAGGUCUCAAGCGUUGUUCGGAAUCACUGGGCGUAAAGCGUGCGUAGGCUGUUGCGUAAGUCGUGUGUGAAUGGCGCGGGCUCAACCCGCGGACGGCACAUGAUACUGCGAGACUAGAGUAAUGGAGGGGGAACCGGAAUUCUCGGUGUAGCAGUGAAAUGCGGAGAUAUCGAGAGGAACACUCGUGGCGAAGGCGGGUUCCUGGACAUUAACUGACGCUGAGGCACGAAGGCCAGGGGAGCGAAAGGGAUUAGAUACCCCUGUAGUC
rnacentral:rRNA from 1 species